rnacentral:rRNA from 1 species
ACUCCUGCGGGAGGCAGCAGUGGGGAAUUUUGGACAAUGGGCGAAAGCCUGAUCCAGCAAUGCCGCGUGCAGGAUGAAGGCCUUCGGGUUGUAAACUGCUUUUGUACGGAACGAAAAAGCUCCUUCUAAUACAGGGGGCCCAUGACGGUACCGUAAGAAUAAGCACCGGCUAACUACGUGCCAGCAGCCGCGGUAAUACGUAGGGUGCGAGCGUUAAUCGGAAUUACUGGGCGUAAAGCGUGCGCAGGCGGUUAUGUAAGACAGAUGUGAAAUCCACGGGCUCAACCUGGGAACUGCAUUUGUGACUGCAUGGCUAGAGUACGGUAGAGGGGGAUGGAAUUCCGCGUGUAGCAGUGAAAUGCGUAGAUAUGCGGAGGAACACCGAUGGCGAAGGCAAUCCCCUGGACCUGUACUGACGCUCAUGCACGAAAGCGUGAGGAGCAAACAGGAUUAGAUACCCCAGUAGUCCCA